rnacentral:rRNA from 1 species
GAUGAACGCUAGCGACAGGCCUAACACAUGCAAGUCGAGGGGUAACAGGGUGUAGCAAUACAUUGCUGACGACCGGCGCACGGGUGAGUAACGCGUAUGCAACCUGCCUGCAACAGGGGGAUAACCCGGAGAAAUUCGGACUAAUACCGCAUAACACAGGGGUCCCGCAUGGGACUAUUUGUUAAAGAUUUAUCGGUUGUAGAUGGGCAUGCGUUCCAUUAGUUAGUUGGGGAGGUAACGGCUCACCAAGACGUCGAUGGAUAGGGGACCAGAGAGGUUGGUCCCCCACCCUGGAACUGAGACACGGACCAGACUCCUACGGGAGGCAGCAGUGAGGAAUAAUGGACAAUGGGGGAGAGCCUGAACCAGCCAAGUCGCGUGAAGGAAAACUGCCUUAUGGAUUGUAAACUUCUUUUAUACAGGAAUAAAAAGGCCUACGAGUAGGUUAUUGCAUGUACAGUAUGAAUAAGCAUCGGCUAACUCCGUGCCAGCAGCCGCGGUAA